rnacentral:rRNA from 1 species
UGCCGCGUGUGUGAAGAAGGCUUUCGGGUUGUAAAGCACUUUCAGCGAGGAAGAAGGCCUGACGGUUAAUACCUGUCAGGAAGGACAUCACUCGCAGAAGAAGCACCGGCUAACUCCGUGCCAGCAGCCGCGGUAAUACGGAGGGUGCAAGCGUUAAUCGGAAUUACUGGGCGUAAAGCGCGCGUAGGUGGCUUGAUAAGCCGGUUGUGAAAGCCCCGGGCUCAACCUGGGAACUGCAUCCGGAACUGUCAGGCUAGAGUGCAGGAGAGGAAGGUAGAAUUCCCGGUGUAGCGGUGAAAUGCGUAGAGAUCGGGAGGAAUACCAGUGGCGAAGGCGGCCUUCUGGACUGACACUGACACUGAGGUGCGAAAGCGUGGGUAGCAAACAGGAUUAGAUACCCUGGUAGUCCACGCCGUAAACGAUGUCGACUAGCCGUUGGGAGCCUCGAGUUCUUAGUGGCGCAGUUAACGCAAUAAGUCGACCGCCUGGGGAGUACGGCCGCAAGGUUAAAACUCA